rnacentral:rRNA from 1 species
GACGAACGCUGGCGGCGUGCCUAACACAUGCAAGUCGAACGAAGCUUGACGAACGAUUCUUCGGAUGAAUUCUGAUAUGACUGAGUGGCGGACGGGUGAGUAACGCGUGAGCAACCUGCCCUUCAGAGGGGGAUAGUGUCCUGGAAACGGACAGGUAAUACCGCAUAAUGUACAUUGAUGGCAUCUUCGAUGUACCAAAGCUUUUGCGCUGAAGGAUGGGCUCGCGUCUGAUUAGAUAGUUGGUGGGGUAACUGGCCUACCAAGUCGACGAUCAGUAGCCGGACUGAGAGGUUGAACGGCCACAUUGGGACUGAGACACGGUCCCAGACUCCUACGGGAGCAGCAUGGGANAUUGCACAAUGGGCGCAAGCCUGAUGCAGC